rnacentral:rRNA from 1 species
UACGGGGGGGGGCAAGCGUUGUUCGGAAUUACUGGGCGUAAAGGGCGCGUAGGCGGUCCGCUAAGUUGGAUGUGAAAACUCUGGGCUUAACCCAGAGCCUGCAUUCAAAACUGACGGGCUAGAGUUCUGGAGGGGGUAGCGGAAUUCCUGGUGUAGCGGUGAAAUGCGUAGAUAUCAGGAGGAACACCGGUGGCGAAGGCGGCUACCUGGACAGAAACUGACGCUGGAGGCGCGAAAGCUAGGGGAGCAAACAGG